GACGAACGCUGGCGGCGUGCCUAAUACAUGCAAGUCGAGCGCAGGAAGCUCACGGAACUCUUCGGAGGGAAGUGAAGGGAUGAGCGGCGGACGGGUGAGUAACACGUAAGGAACCUGCCCCAAGGAUUGGGAUAACUCCGAGAAAUCGGAGCUAAUAACGAAUAGUUCUUCAGACCGCAUGGUCUGAUGAUGAAAGGCGCUUCGGCGCCACCUUGGGAUGGCCUUGCGGUGCAUUAGCUAGUUGGUGGGGUAAUGGCCAACCAAGGCGACGAUGCAUAGCCGACCUGAGAGGGUGAUCGGCCACACUGAGACUGAGGCACGGCCCAGACUCCUACGGUAGGCAGCAGUAGGGAAUCUUCCACAAUGGACGAAAGUCUGAUGGAGCAACGCCGCGUGAGUGAUGAGGGUUUUCGGAUCGUAAAACUCUGUUGUAAGGGAAGAACAGGUAUGAGAGGUAAUGCUCAUGCUAUGACGGUACCUUGCGAGAAAGCCACGGCUAACUACGUGCCAGCAGCCGCCGUAACAC
rnacentral:rRNA from 1 species